CCCCUAGUAACUGCGAGUGAAGCGGGAAAAGCUCAAAUUUAAAAUCUGGCAGCUUUGGCUGUCCGAGUUGUAAUCUGGAGAAGCGUCUUCCGCGCUGGACCGUGUACAAGUCUCCUGGAACGGAGCGUCAUAGAGGGUGAGAAUCCCGUCUUUGACACGGACUACCAGUGCUUUGUGAUGCGCUCUCAAAGAGUCGAGUUGUUUGGGAAUGCAGCUCAAAAUGGGUGGUAAACUCCAUCUAAAGCUAAAUAUUGGCGAGAGACCGAUAGCGAACAAGUACCGUGAGGGAAAGAUGAAAAGCACUUUGGAAAGAGAGUUAAACAGUACGUGAAAUUGCUGAAAGGGAAACGCUUGAAGUCAGUCGCGUUUGCUAGGACUCAGCCUUGCCUCGGCUUGGUGCACUUCCUAGUAGACGGGCCAGCAUCACUUUUGGCUGCGGGAGAAAGAUCAGAGGAAUGUGGCACCUUCGGGUGUGUUAUAGCCUCUGGUUGUAUGCCGUGGCUGGGAGUGAGGAUCUCAGCACGCCUUAUGGCGGGGCUUCGGCCACCUUCGUGCUUAGGAUGCUGGCGUAAUGGCUUUAAACGACCCGUCUUGAAACACGGACCAAGGAGUCUAACAUGCCUGCGAGUGUUUGGGUGGAAAACCCGAGCGCGUAAUGAAAGUGAAAGUUGGGAUCUCUGUCGUGGAGAGCACCGACGCCCGGACCAGACCUUCUGUGACGGAUCCGCGGUAGAGCAUGUAUGUUGGGACCCGAAAGAUGGUGAACUAUGCCUGAAUAGGGUGAAGCCAGAGGAAACUCUGGUGGAGGCUCGUAGCGAUUCUGACGUGCAAAUCGAUCGUCAAAUUUGGGUAUAGGGGCGAAAGACUAAUCGAACCAUCUAGUAGCUGGUUC
rnacentral:rRNA from 1 species